rnacentral:rRNA from 1 species
UGGAUGAUGUGGAUUAUUCGAUGCAACGCGAAAACCUUACCUACCCUUUGACAUGUCUGGAACCUUGGUGAGAGCCGAGGGUGCCUUCGGGAGCCAGAACACAGGUGCUGCAUGGCUGUCGUCAGCUCGUGUCGUGAGAUGUUGGGUUAAGUCCCGCAACGAGCGCAACCCUUGUCACUAGUUGCCAUCAUUUGGUUGGGCACUCUAGUGAGACUGCCGGUGACAAACCGGAGGAAGGUGGGAUGACGUCAAAUCAUCAUGCCCUUUAUGACCUGGGCUACACACGUGCUACAAUGGCCUAUACAAAGGGUAGCGAAGCUGUGAGGUGGAGCCAAUCCCAAAAGUAGGUCUCAGUUCGGAUUGUAGGCUGCAACUCGCCUACAUGAAGUCGGAAUCGCUAGUAAUCGCAGAUCAGCACGCUGCGGUGAAUACGUUCCCGGGCCUU